rnacentral:rRNA from 1 species
GACGAACGCUGGCGGCGUGCUUAACACAUGCAAGUCGAACGGAAAGGCCCUGCUUUUGUGGGGUGCUCGAGUGGCGAACGGGUGAGUAACACGUGAGUAACCUGCCCUUGACUUUGGGAUAACUUCAGGAAACUGGGGCUAAUACCGGCUAGGAGCUCCUGCUGCAUGGUGGGGGUUGGAAAGUUUCGGCGGUUGGGGAUGGACUCGCGGCUUAUCAGCUUGUUGGUGGGGUAGUGGCUUACCAAGGCUUUGACGGGUAGCCGGCCUGAGAGGGUGACCGGCCACAUUGGGACUGAGAGACGGCCCAGACGGCGACGGGAGGCAGCAGUGGGGAAUAUUGCACAAUGGGCGGAAGCCGGAUGCAGCAACGCCGCGUGCGGGAUGACGGCCUUAGGGUUGUAAACCGCUUUCGCCUGUGACGAAGCGAGAGUGACGGUAACGGGUAAAGAAGCACCGGCUAACUACGUG